rnacentral:rRNA from 1 species
GCCGGAGGAAGGUGGGGAGUGACGUCAAGUCCUCAUGGCCCUUACCAGGCUGGGCUACACACGUGCUACAAUGGCAUCUACAGUGGGCAGCUAUUCCGCAAGGAUGCGCUAAUCUCCAAAAGAUGUCUCAGUUCGGAUUGUCCUCUGCAACUCGAGGGCAUGAAGGCGGAAUCGCUAGUAAUCGCGGAUCAGCAUGCCGCGGUGAAUACGUUCCCAGGCCUU